UACGUAGGGGGCUAGCGUUGUCCGGAAUCAUUGGGCGUAAAGCGCGUGUAGGCGGUCCGGUAAGUCCGCUGUGAAAGUCGGGGGCUCAACCCUCGGAUGCCGGUGGAUACUAUCGGGCUUGAGUACGGAAGAGGCGAGUGGGAUUCCUGGUGUAGCGGUGAAAUGCGCAGAUAUCAGGAAGAACACCCGUGGCGAAGGCGGCUCUCUGGAACGCAACUGACGCUGAGACGCGAAAGCGUGGGGAGCGAACAGG
rnacentral:rRNA from 1 species